rnacentral:rRNA from 2 species
GGGAGCUUGACUGCGAGACUGACAAGUCGAGCAGGGACGAAAGUCGGGCUUAGUGAUCCGGUGGUUCCGUAUGGAAGGGCCAUCGCUCAACGGAUAAAAGCUACCCUGGGGAUAACAGGCUUAUCUCCCCCAAGAGUCCACAUCGACGGGGAGGUUUGGCACCUCGAUGUCGGCUCAUCGCAUCCUGGGGCUGUAGUCGGUCCCAAGGGUUGGGCUGUUCGCCCAUUAAAGCGGUACGCGAGCUGGGUUCAGAACGUCGUGAGACAGUUCGGUCCCUAUCCGUCGCGGGCGCAGGAAAUUUGAGAGGAGCUGUCCUUAGUACGAGAGGACCGGGAUGGACGUUCCGCUGGUGUACCAGUUGUGCCGCCAGGCGCAUCGCUGGGUAGCUAUGAACGGAAGGGAUAAACGCUGAAAGCAUCUAAGUGUGAAGCCCCCCUCGAGAUGAGAUUUCCCAUUCCUAUAUGGAAGUAAGACCCCUGAAAGAUGAUCAGGUAGAUAGGCUGGAAGUGGAAGUGCAGCGAUGCAUGGAGCGGACCAGUACUAAUCGGUCGAGGACUUAACCAAG